rnacentral:misc_RNA from 1 species
UUCUUAAUUUCUUCUUCCUUUAAUCGUAGGCUUUUCGCAUUCGCUAUA